GUGCUCACUUCGGCAGCACACAUACUAACAUUGGAAGGAUACAGAGAAGAUGAGCAUGGGCCCCUGCCCACAUGCAAAUUUAUAAAGCGGUCCAUAUUUUU
ensembl:snRNA U6 U6 spliceosomal RNA